rnacentral:rRNA from 1 species
UUAUUUGAGAGUUUGAUCCUGGCUCAGGAUGAACGCUGGUGGCGUGCCUAACACAUGCAAGUUGAGCGAUUUACUUCGGUAAAGAGCGGCGGACGGGUGAGUAACGCGUGGGUAACCUACCCUGUACA